UCCUCUCAGCCCUCCAUCCCCAUCCUGGGCAUCAUGGCUGGUGUGGCUAUCCUUGUGGUCACUGUGGUGGUUGGAGCUGUGAUCUGGAGGAAGAAGUUCUCAGGAGGAAAAGGACCAAGCUACUCUCUCGCUGCACGCAAUGGCAGUACCCAGGGCUCUGAUUCGUCUUUAAUGGCUCCUAAAG